rnacentral:rRNA from 1 species
GUUUGAUCCUGGCUCAGGACGAACGCUGGCGGCGUGCCUAAAACAUGCAAGUCGAGCGGACAGAUGGGAGCUUGCUCCCUGAUGUUAGCGGCGGACGGGUGAGUAACACGUGGGUAACCUGCCUGUAAGACUGGGAUAACUCCGGGAAACCGGGGCUAAUACCGGAUGCUUGUUUGAACCGCAGGGUUCAAACAUAAAAGGUGGCUUCGGCUACCACUUACAGAUGGACCCGCGGCGCAUUAGCUAGUUGGUGAGGUAAUGGCUCACCAAGGCAACGAUGCGUAGCCGACCUGAGAGGGUGAUCGGCCACACUGGGACUGAGACACGGCCCAGACUCCUACGGGAGGCAGCAGUAGGGAAUCUUCCGCAAUGGACGAAAGUCUGACGGAGCAACGCCGCGUGAGUGAUGAAGGUUUUCGGAUCGUAAAAGCUUUCUGUUGUUAGGGAAGAAACAAGUACCGUUCGGAAUAGGGGGCGGUACCUUGAACGGUACCUAACCAGAAAAGCCACGGCUAACUACGUGCCAGCAGCCGCGGUAAUACGUAGGUGGCAAGCGUUGUCCGGAAUUAUUGGGCGUAAAGGGCUCGCAGCGGCGGUUCCUUAAGUCUGAUGUGAAAGCCCCCGGCGCUCAACCGGGGAGGGUCAUUGGAAACUGGGGAACUUGAGUGCAGAAGAGGAGAGUGGAAUUCCACGUGUAGCGGUGAAAUGCGUAGAGAUGUGGAGGAACACCAGUGGCGAAGGCGACUCUCUGGUCUGUAACUGACGCUGAGGAGCGAAAGCGUGGGGAGCGAACAGGAUUAGAUACCCUGGUAGUCCACGCCGUAAACGAUGAGUGCUAAGUGUUAGGGGGUUUCCGCCCCUUAGUGCUGCAGCUAACGCAUUAAGCACUCCGCCUGGGGAGUACGGUCGCAAGACUGAAACUCAAAGGAAUUGACGGGGGCCCGCACAAGCGGUGGAGCAUGUGGUUUAAUUCGAAGCAACGCGAAGAACCUUACCAGGUCUUGACAUCCUCUGACAAUCCUAGAGAUAGGACGUCCCCUUCGGGGGCAGAGUGACAGGUGGUGCAUGGUUGUCGUCAGCUCGUGUCGUGAGAUGUUGGGUUAAGUCCCGCAACGAGCGCAACCCUUGAUCUUAGUUGCCAGCAUUCAGUUGGGCACUCUAAGGUGACUGCCGGUGACAAACCGGAGGAAGGUGGGGGAUGACGUCAAAUCAUCAUGGCCCCUUAUGACCUGGGCUACACACGUGCUACAAUGGGACAGAACAAAGGGCAGCGAAACCGCGAGGUUAAGCCAAUCCCACAAAUCUGUUCUCAGUUCGGAUCGCAGUCUGCAACUCGACUGCGUGAAGCUGGAAUCGCUAGUAAUCGCGGAUCAGCAUGGCCGCGGUGAAUACGUUCCCGGGCCUUGUACACACCGCCCGUCACACCACGAGAGUUUGUAACACCCGAAGUCGGUGAGGUAACCUUUAUGGAGCCAGCCGCCGAAGGUGGGACAGAUGAUUGGGGUGAAGUCGUAACAAGGUAGCCGUAUCGGAAGGUGCGGCUGGAUCACCUCCUUUACUCU